rnacentral:snRNA from 1 species
GGAUGUGAGGAUAAUCUGGCUGCGACGUCUGUUUCCCCAUUGAUCGCCAAGGUUGAUUCGGCUGAUCUGGCUGGCUGGACGGGUGUCCCCCUCCUCCCUCACUGCUCCAUGUGCGUCCCUCCCGCAGCUGCAAGCUCGGUCGAAGAGGACGACCACUCCAAUAAAGGAGGAUCAUUUCAUGGUCGAGGGUAUACGAGUAGCUAUGCUCCCCUGCUAGAACCUCCAAACAAGUUCUCUUCCCUCUUUCUGUGUUUUUGUUACAGAUAUUAGGUGGUUUGAUAUUUUCUGAUACUUUGCUAUCACUCAUUUUAAAUUCUUUUUAAAU